AACUCUCUCAAAGAAACAAGUUGGACCACACCUGCAAUUCCCUAUUUCUUAUGCCAUUUACCAGGCCACAGUCUCUAAACUCAUCAGCAAGCUUAAACAACCUUAAAGGCAGUGAGCCACAGAAAACUGUCUCCUUCCUUCCGGUGUAUUUUGGAAAAAAAAAAAACUGCCACGACUCACUUCCUCCUCUCACUUCUCCACGAGUUUCCUGCCAGCUUCUCUUCUUGUGUAAGAUUUAAUCUGAGGUGCUUGCAUUCUUCUGAAUUCAGACAGUGUUCCUGUGUCAGUAGUGCUGUGGAUACAGUCUCCUAGGAUCUAGUCAACAGAGGAUCUGACCUGCUAUUAAUAGACACUGUGUUUCCUGAAGAACAGAAAGCAAGGCUGUGACAAUUGAAAGAAGCCAAAUGUGAAGUCUCUGCUUCAGGAAUUCAUUUUAUGGCACUCUGGAAAAGUAACUAGAAGACUAGCUUUCCUUGCAGUGUGUUAACAGACAGAGAGCUCCCACAAACCCAGAAGCUAAGAGCAUCUUCAGGUACCAUCUGACCCCUGUGACAAAGGUCCACCCACUUUGCUGCAACUGCCUGCCUCUGGUGUUUCCAUCGAUGUGCUUGAAAAGUGUCUUCACGUGUGGCUUCCUUUGGUCUGUGACUAUAAAGAUUCCAUUACCACCGUGGAACAGGGAAUUUAGGGUGAUCUAAAUGGGUCUUCCUGGGCCAUGGUCACUCAUUGUGUCUCCAGAGUAAACUCUUGUCUCCUUUGUGAAGAGAGUUGUGUGUCUGCACACAAUGGGCAGUGACUGUCUGGGAACAGGAUAGGAGAGCACAUUGUCCUGUAGGAAAGUGCAGCAGAGAAGAGGCAGCCCAGAUAACAGCAGGCUGAGAGCGCUUCAUUGGAAUAGAGAGGGGCCCAAGCACUCCAUGGCGUGAAGGUUGAGCACACUUAAAGGUGCUGGGUGUGUGUGUGUGUGUGUGUGUGUGUGUGUUUACAGUUUGAUUGGAAGCUGGUGAGUUCUGUUCCCUCCCCAGGCAUAUUGCUCCUGCAGGUGGAAAGGAACACUCACUCUGGGGCUGAGCCAUUCCUUCUGGCCUGGGGCUACAGCUCAGAGCAUCCUGACUCAAUUCCUUCUAACCUGAGGCUCUUACUCAAAAUAUCCCAACUCUGGUAGGGUAAAACAGAAAUUAGUGUAGAUGAGUCCUCAUUUGCUGGUGGGUCCCAAAGGUGGAGUGGGAAUGUUCAGGAUGCUUCCCGGUUAGAAUAAAAGCUGCUUCUCUGGGGGCAUGAAGAAUCCAGAGAUGCUCUAGUUCAGGAAACCAUGCAGUCUUUGUUGGAGGAACUUGGUAAGAUAGCACAAAAAAAAAAAAAAAAAAAAAAAAAACCAGGGGCCAAACAAUAGAGUUAACAUAAUCAUAACCACUGGGCCUGCCAAGGGCAAGAUCCAACAUCCCCAACCAGCGAGGGGCUUUCCAGAAAGUAUUGUCUGCCCUCUCUCUGUGUUGAUUCUUUGUAGUAAUUGUCUAGCUUCCCCCCAUACUAGGCCAGGUUCAUUCACAUCACAGCACCAUUCUGCUCCUAGAUACGCACAGGUGCCCCCUCUCUCGGCAGUCAUUAAGUCCAGCCCUCUGUGGUUUGGAAGAUUGCCACAGCCAGUGAAUCUGAGUUGGUUGCAUGGCUAUGCUUUUUUUUUUUUUUACCAGGGUCAGGUCUUCCUGAAUAUUGUCAUGGUGGAAGCUUCACCCCUGCCCCUGGCGUCCAUAUACCCAGAGUCUGGAGUGUUACGGUGGAAGUUUCACACUAGCCCCUCCCCCAUCACUCUCCAUACCCUGCUGCAUCUCAGGAAGCCCACCAAACGAUGACCCCUAUCCCAGAGAUGCUCAAGACCACUCCCACAAGGUUUUUAAACUGUCCCCCAAAAAACAGACUCCUGAUUUUUCCAGUCUCCCAUUUCCUCUCUGGGGGAAUUGGAAGGCCGUCAGGGAGUGUUGUAUCCAUUAAAUGUGGGCUUUCUAAAUUCAGUUUGAAUAUGAUUUGGAUUGCUGUGUCUGGAGCGACACUUGUUGGGAUGUAGAUACUUCGCAAAUCUGAUUGGCUGUGCUGUACCUGUUGGAGCCCUAUUGCUGUUGCACAGCUGGUGGUUGCCCCUCUAGAGCCUUCUCCAGCAGUAUGGGAGUAGAAUGAGGCUUCUGUUUUUCCUGAUACUAUGAACAAGAUGUUAAUAUGCUUCCUGUGCCAGGAGAACACCUAACUCUGGAGUGAAGAAGACUGUGACACUUUUCAUUCCAGGGCAGCAAAUAUAGGUACAAUCCUGGGAUGCAAAGCAAGUUUCACUUGAUGCCCUUGCCUUGGGAACCAAAUAUAUGUGGUUUGUUUCUGGUCCUACAGAGUCAGCCUCUCUGAUUAUCUGAGUCAGGUGUUUGGCUAACCAGUGCUAAUCUGUUGACUAGUUGGUUUGUAUUACAUUAUAUUUUGUUUGACUUGGAUAGCUGUUUUAGAAAUAGCCUGUGAGUGGAGGUGGUGGGUUGAACAGCUACAGAGAUAAAGACCAGAGCCUGAUUAUAGGAAGCAUAGGAUAAUCAGGAUAUUGAAGGGUCCAGGAGUAAAGAAAUAUAAAACUGGAAGCCCAAACAUAUUGAGGAAUACGUAUGUAUGUAUGUAUUAUGCAUGUAUUUAACCUGGCAGCCGCUGUUAACGUUUAACAACCACUUUCUGCCUUUAGAGCAGACACCCUGGCAGCCGCUGUGCACACAGGGAAACUUUUAACAAUUGUCUCCCGCCUCGCAGCUUCCCAGCUAGGCAGGUACUGUGGACACAGGCUAGCUUCUAUGUAUUGCCUCCAUGGACCCCCUAGUUGAAGUCCCUGAAUUUAUACCUGUCCUCUGUGUGACUCUUUUCUCAGCCUUGUAUUCUUUCACGGAAACACUGUGUCGGCCACAGGCUUUCACAAACAUCCUAACAUCCUACAAUCAAAAGUUGUAAAACUUAAAAUGGAAUGUGAGUUAAGCCUGACCUCAAGGUUGUAAAGCUCUUGACCCCCCACCUGGUGCUGGAUUUUACUGUAAGAAGAGGCCUGAAACCAGCGCCUGUUGCCACAGUUUCAGAAGACCAAUGUCCGGUGCGAUCCAAGUUAACUGGGAAGCUCUUUGUGCCCUGUGGUGACUUUUUUUUUUAAUAAAGAUUGCUUCUGGAUUUAUA